UCAUCCAUAGUUCAACGCAAAAAUACCCUAUUCAUCAUAUUGGCGUAUUUUCCAUAGAAACAUGGAAUUCAAAAGUAACUCUUUUAGCGCUGCUAUUUUCACAGUGAACU